rnacentral:rRNA from 1 species
UGAGUAACCUGCCCUGGACUUUGGGAUAACCCUCGGAAACGGGGGCUAAUACCGGAUAUGACAUGCUCUCGCAUGGGGGUGUGUGGAAAGUUUUUCGGUCUGGGAUGGGCUCGCGGCCUAUCAGCUUGUUGGUGGGGUGAUGGCCUACCAAGGCGACGACGGGUAGCCGGCCUGAGAGGGCGACCCGGCCACACUGGGACUGAGACACGGCCCAGACUCCUACGGGAGCA